UAACCGACCCGCGGGAGCUCUCGUCGUGAGGGCUGAGAGGGCGCGGCCGCGCCGACCGCUCGAACCUGUCCGGAUAAUGCCGGCGUAGGGAGACGCAUGACCAGCACG
rnacentral:ncRNA from 1 species